rnacentral:rRNA from 1 species
GAAAAAAUUAGAGUGUUCAAAGCAGGCCUUUGCUCGAAUACAUUAGCAUGGAAUAAUAGAAUAGGACGUGCGGUUCUAUUUUGUUGGUUUCUAGGACCGCCGUAAUGAUUAAUAGGGAUAGUCGGGGGCGUCAGUAUUCAGCUGUCAGAGGUGAAAUUCUUGGAUUUGCUGAAGACUAACUACUGCGAAAGCAUUCGCCAAGGAUGUUUUCAUUAAUCAGGGAACGAAAGUUAGGGGAUCGAAGACGAUCAGAUACCGUCGUAGUCUUAACCAUAAACUAUGCCGACUAGGGAUCGGACGGGAUUCUAUAAUGACCCGUUCGGCACCUUACGAGAAAUCA